AUGACCUCCACCAUGGCCUGGUCCCCUCUCCUCCUCAGCCUCCUCGCUCACUGCACAGGGUCCUGGGCCCAGUCUGUGCUGACUCAGCCGUCCUCCGUGUCUGGGGCCCUGGGCCAGAGGGUCACCAUCUCCUGCACUGGAAGCAGCUCCAACAUCGGUGCUUAUUAUGUGUACUGGUUCCAACAACUCCCAGGAAAAGCGCCCAGAACCAUCAUCUAUGGUAAUAGCUAUCGACCCUCAGGGGUCCCCGAUAGAGUCUCUGGCUCCAGGUCUGGCAGCUCAGGCACCCUGACCAUCACUGGGCUCCAGGCGGAGGACGAGGCUGAGUCUUACUGUGCAUCGUGGGAGGAUAGUCUCAGCGCUCACACAGCGCUCCCGGCCUGA